rnacentral:rRNA from 4 species
GUGGCCCCAAGUCAGGCGAGGCCACCCGCC